UACGGGGGGGCAAGCGUUGUUCGGAAUUACUGGGCGUAAAGGGCUCGUAGGCGGCCAACUAAGUCGGAUGUGAAAUCCCCAGGCUCAACCUGGGAACUGCAUCCGAUACUGGAUGGCUUGAAUUCGGGAGAGGGAUGCAGAAUUCCAGGUGUAGCGGUGAAAUGCGUAGAUAUCUGGAGGAAUACCGGUGGCGAAGGCGGCAUCCUGGACCGACAUUGACGCUGAGGAGCGAAAGCCAGGGAGCAAAGCGGG
rnacentral:rRNA from 1 species